rnacentral:rRNA from 1 species
ACGGAGGGUGCAAGCGUUAAUCGGAAUUACUGGGCGUAAAGCGCACGCAGGCGGUUUGUUAAGUCAGAUGUGAAAUCCCCGGGCUCAACCUGGGAACUGCAUCUGAUACUGGCAAGCUUGAGUCUCGAAGAGGGGGGAAGAAUUCCAGGGGUAGCGGUGAAAUGCGGAGAGAUCUGGAGGAAUACCGGUGGCGAAGGCGGCCCCCUGGGCGAAGACUGACGGUGAGGAGCGAAAGCGUGGGGAGCAAACAG